rnacentral:rRNA from 1 species
UACGUAGGGGGCAAGCGUUGUCCGGAAUUAUUGGGCGUAAAGAGCGCGUAGGCGGUCCGAUAAGUCGGCUGUGAAAGUCAGGGGCUCAACCCUUGAAAGCCGGCCGAUACUGUCGGACUAGAGUCCGGAAGAGGCGAGUGGAAUUCCCGGUGUAGCGGUGAAAUGCGCAGAUAUCAGGAGGAACACCGGUGGCGAAGGCGGGUCUCUGGGCCGAUACUGACGCUGAGGAGCGAAAGCGUGGGGAGCGAACAGG